rnacentral:rRNA from 1 species
CGUAGGGUGCAAGCGUUAAUCGGAAUUACUGGGCGUAAAGCGUGCGCAGGCGGCUAUGCAAGACAGAUGUGAAAUCCCCGGGCUCAACCUGGGAACUGCAUUUGUGACUGCAUGGCUAGAGUACGGUAGAGGGGGAUGGAAUUCCGCGUGUAGCAGUGAAAUGCGUAGAUAUGCGGAGGAACACCGAUGGCGAAGGCAAUCCCCUGGACCUGUACUGACGCUCAUGCACGAAAGCGUGGGGAGCAAACAGG